GACGAACGCUGGCGGCGCGCCUAACACAUGCAAGUCGAACGGGGUGAUUUCCUUCGGGAGAUUCGCUUAGUGGCGAACGGGUGAGUAACGCGUGAGGAACCUGCCUUUCAGUGGGGGGACAACAGUUGGAAACGACUGCUAAUACCGCAUAAUGUAGCGAGACCGCAUGAUCUUGCUACCAAAGCUUUAUGUGCUGAAAGAUGGCCUCGCGUCUGAUUAGAUAGAUGGUGGGGUAACGGCCUACCAUGCCGACGAUCGGUAGCCGGACUGAGAGGUUGAUCGGCCACAUUGGGACUGAGACACGGCCCAG
rnacentral:rRNA from 1 species